UAUAUCCUUCAACAUCUGCUA
rnacentral:siRNA from 1 species